UACGAAGGGGGCUAGCGUUGCUCGGAAUGACUGGGCGUAAAGGGCGCGUAGGCGGCGAUCAUAGUCAGAUGUGAAAUUCCUGGGCUUAACCUGGGGGCUGCAUUUGAUACGUGGUUGCUUGAGUGGGGAAGAGGGUCGUGGAAUUCCCAGUGUAGAGGUGAAAUUCGUAGAUAUGACAUAGAACACCAAUUGCGAAGGCAGCUCACUACUCAAUCAUUGACUCUGAGGCACGAAAGCGUGGGGAUCAAACAGG
rnacentral:rRNA from 1 species